rnacentral:rRNA from 1 species
UUUAUGGAGAGUUUGAUCCUGGCUCAGAGUGAACGCUGGCGGCGUGCCUAAUACAUGCAAGUCGAACGAUGAAGCUUCUAGCUUGCUAGAAGUGGAUUAGUGGCGCACGGGUGAGUAACGCAUAGGUCAUGUGCCUCUUAGUUUGGGAUAGCCAUUGGAAACGAUGAUUAAUACCAGAUACUCCCUACGGGGGAAAGAUUUAUCGCUAAGAGAUCAGCCUAUGUCCUAUCAGCUUGUUGGUAAGGUAAUGGCUUACCAAGGCUAUGACGGGUAUCCGGCCUGAGAGGGUGAACGGACACACUGGAACUGAGACACGGUCCAGACUCCUACGGGAGGCAGCAGUAGGGAAUAUUGCUCAAUGGGGGAAACCCUGAAGCAGCAACGCCGCGUGGAGGAUGAAGGUUUUAGGAUUGUAAACUCCUUUUGUUAGAGAAGAUAAUGACGGUAUCUAACGAAUAAGCACCGGCUAACUCCGUGCCAGCAGCCGCGGUAAUACGGAGGGUGCAAGCGUUACUCGGAAUCACUGGGCGUAAAGAGCGCGUAGGCGGGAUAGUCAGUCAGGUGUGAAAUCCUAUGGCUUAACCAUAGAACUGCAUUUGAAACUACUAUUCUAGAGUGUGGGAGAGGUAGGUGGAAUUCUUGGUGUAGGGGUAAAAUCCGUAGAGAUCAAGAGGAAUACUCAUUGCGAAGGCGACCUGCUGGAACAUUACUGACGCUGAUUGCGCGAAAGCGUGGGGAGCAAACAGGAUUAGAUACCCUGGUAGUCCACGCCCUAAACGAUGGAUGCUAGUUGUUGGAGGGCUUAGUCUCUCCAGUAAUGCAGCUAACGCAUUAAGCAUCCCGCCUGGGGAGUACGGUCGCAAGAUUAAAACUCAAAGGAAUAGACGGGGACCCGCACAAGCGGUGGAGCAUGUGGUUUAAUUCGAAGAUACACGAAGAACCUUACCUAGGCUUGACAUUGAGAGAAUCCGCUAGAAAUAGUGGAGUGUCUAGCUUGCUAGACCUUGAAAACAGGUGCUGCACGGCUGUCGUCAGCUCGUGUCGUGAGAUGUUGGGUUAAGUCCCGCAACGAGCGCAACCCCCUUUCUUAGUUGCUAACAGGUCAUGCUGAGAACUCUAAGGAUACUGCCUCCGUAAGGAGGAGGAAGGUGGGGACGACGUCAAGUCAUCAUGGCCCUUACGCCUAGGGCUACACACGUGCUACAAUGGGGUGCACAAAGAGAAGCAAUACUGCGAAGUGGAGCCAAUCUUCAAAACGUCUCUCAGUUCGGAUUGUAGGCUGCAACUCGCCUGCAUGAAGCUGGAAUCGCUAGUAAUCGCAAAUCAGCCAUGUUGCGGUGAAUACGUUCCCGGGUCUUGUACUCACCGCCCGUCACACCAUGGGAGUUGUGUUUGCCUUAAGUCAGGAUGCUAAACUAGCUACUGCCCACGGCACACACAGCGACUGGGGUGAAGUCGUAACAAGGUAACCGUAGGUGAACCUGCGGUUGGAUCACCUCCUUUCUAGA